rnacentral:rRNA from 1 species
GUGAUGGUGGCGGACGGGUGAGUAACGCGUAAAGACUUGCCUUGCAGUCUGGGACAACGUCUGGAAACGGACGCUAAUACCGGAUAUUAUCGCAUGAUGAAAGCUAUAUGCGCUGCGAGAGAGCUUUGCGUCCCAUUAGUUAGUUGGUGAGGUAACGGCUCACCAAGACGAUGAUGGGUAGCCGGCCUGAGAGGGUGAACGGCCACAAGGGGACUGAGACACGGCCCUUACUCCUACGGGAGGCAGCAGUGGGGAAUAUUGGACAAUGGACCAAAGUCUGAUCCAGCAAUUCUGUGUGCACGAUGAAGUUUUUCGGAAUGUAAAGUGCUUUCAGUUGGGAAGAAGAAAGUGACGGUACCAACAGAAGAAGCGACGGCUAAAUACGUGCCAGCAGCCGCGGUAAUACGUAUGUCGCAAGCGUUAUCCGGAUUUAUUGGGCGUAAAGCGCGUCUAGGCGGUUUGGUAAGUCUGAUGUGAAAAUGCGGGGCUCAACUCCGUAUUGCGUUGGAGACUGCCAAACUAGAGUACUGGAGAGGUAGGCGGAACUACAAGUGUAGAG